AAAAUUUUUUGCGAGUGAUUUAUUACUUUAAGGAUUUAUAUAUAAUAAGAUUUUUAUUUGUUUUCAUAACAUUAUAUUGUAAAAUGAAAUACAUUAUAAUAUUUUCUACGUUACUUCUCUUAAUACUGUUGCAAACCGUUGUAUGUGAACAUGAAGCAGGAACAAAUGAGGAAUCCGUGGAAAAACCAAGCACAAGAAAAUUGGAACCAGAUACGUUCAGCAGUAAGAUCAACUAUUUGAAAAACUUUGUACAUGGUGUACAAAAUUAUUUCAUUAAUAUUUUCUCGUGGAUCAAAGGCAUAAUAAAUUAAUUGUUUUAUUCGAAAAUUCUAAAAAAAUAAAA